GUACUUGCUUCAGCAAUACCUUUUCUAGAUUAGAAUGAUACAGAGAAGAUUAGCAUGGCUCCUGCACAAGGAUGACAUGCAAAUCAUGCAGCCUUCCGUAAUUUUC